rnacentral:rRNA from 1 species
GACAGAGGGUGCAAACGUUGUUCGGAAUUACUGGGCGUAAAGCGCGUGUAGGCGGCCCUGCAAGUCGGAUGUGAAAUCCCACGGCUCAACCGUGGAAGUGCAUUCGAAACUGCAGGGCUAGAGUCCUGGAGAGGAAGGUGGAAUGCGUUGGUGUAGAGGUGAAAUUCGUAGAUAUCAAGCGGAACACCGGUGGCGAAGGCGGCCUUCCUGGACAGUGACUGACGC